GUGGUGCCUUUUCAACAGCCCGCACAGAUAGCGCGUUGACACGAGGGGUGGUUGAAUCGUGAUGAAAGACACAAGAGAAGGCAGCCUGAGAGGAAGACAGCCAGCCUCCUGGGAAGGAAGCUGAAAGCCCUGGCGCUAGCUCUGCGUCUCAUCUGCCAAGUCUGCUCACUCCAAGACCCAGCCCAGCCCAGCCCGUCUCCCAGGCCAUGUGGUGGCAUGGCUUUACAAGACAGCUUGCGAUCUCCGACCUUCGCCUCAGAAACCAACCUCUCCAGACUGUGCCUCCGGCCGGAGACCAAGUGUCAAGUACAUGAGCCCUCGGAGGGCAUUUCACCACAUUCAAAUCCACUUCCUAUCACCACGCAGAAAUGCGCAAGAAACAGUUUUAGAGUCUUCAGUACCACCGACCUGCUCAAGACUGCUUAUUCAUGGGCAAUAAAGUCGGUUUCCCAACUUGGAGUGGAA